AAAGUUGGGGUUCGGAGGAGGAGGCGUCCCCCCUCCCUACGGGGGGUAGGCCAGGGGGCGGAGAUCGAGACUCUCUCGCUGAUCCAAACCCUCGCCCGCCCGGGAAUCCGAGCCUGGUGCUGAUCAACGGAGGGUGAAGAUGCUGCCACGCCCGGGCUCCGGGGUUGCUAGCCCCAUGUAGAAGAGAAGCACACUUGCUGACUGAGACGACACACACAGUUGCGAAGCCGGAGAGAGAUCAUCACACUUGCGGAAGGCAAGGGCAAGGGCAGGCAAGGGGGAGUUGGUGGGGCAGGGAUGGAGAGCGGCGUGUAUGCCUAAUGCCGCUCGCUCCCCGCGUCAUCAAUUCUCUGCCCUGCAUGAACGUCACAAGUGAAAUUCUCCCCUCUCCUUCUGAUUUUCUGUCUCAAUUCUCUUCCUUCUCCUCCGCCGUGGUUUUGUGUUCCCUUCUACAUUACUUUAUGUGUAAAUCACGCACCCCCGUCCUUUCCCCCGUCAUGCCUCCCUCAUCCAAGUCGUGGAUCACAUAAUCCAUGUUUUUGUUGUAUUUUGGAGCUUCUGACGUUGUCUUUCUUGCUCGUGCAACUAGUGGACAGACGACGAGACAUUGCUGAUUAUGUGCAGCGAAGACAUGGAAGAUUUCAUCCGCGACCUUGCUCUUAGAUCUACAAUGCCUCUUGCGAAACUGACAGCGGAAUACCGGACUUUUAUUUGAUCAUGAUGGAAUCCACAUGUGCCUCAUACUUCAGGAAUCCAUGCGGUCCACCAUGUGGCAUUGUAGGUUUAAGAGCUGUGCCGCGGGUGGAUUGAUGAUCACCUGUUACGGUAUCCAUUUUUGAUUCUGUGAGUCAUGGAUUGCCUUCCAGGUUUUUGAGGAAGAUCUUACUACACCACAUGUCUCGUCCCCGUAACCGGCGCCGGUAAGCUAGUUCAUUCUGAAACUAAGGUAUUACUCUCAAUUGAGGUCUCUCUGAUUUUUUGGUCUUUUAGGCUUUCUAAGAGUUAUUCUGGCACAUGUCAACUCAUCGAUGACGACUGAUGCAGAAGUCCAACUGAUUUAAGUAACGAAUUUUUUCUCGCAAUUAAACUCGUUAUGGUGGCAUGGGCACAGAACGACUUAAAGUACUUACCAAGGCACAGGCCAUGAACUGCUGAAACAUACUCUCUGUGGUAGUUGUUCUGGUCGAAUACUGAUCAAUUUGUGUAAUUGGUCAGCCAUGACUGGAAGCUGAGAAAUUUGUCUGUUAUAGGAUUCCUUAACUGCGUCACCACAGACGUUGCGCUGCGGAUUUAUGAUAGAAUGAGUAACCUUCACACGAAGCAAACCGAAGUGAGGUAAUAGUUCUCUGAUCAAUGUCUACAGUGCGUUGAUAUGUCUUCGGCGCGUGUUGAGAGUCAGUAAAUACAGCGAUGAGAAUCCCCCCGGAUGUUCAUACAAGUUCCAUGAAUAGUUCAACCUCCACCUUGCAGUGGCACGUGGAAUGUAGAAGCAGGCUCUGUUUCUCUCGAAGCUCAUGGAACAAUCAUUUGCUGAAACUGAUUUGAAUAGCAAUGUGUUCGGUUGCAUGCACUCUGUUUUGGUCUGCUAUUCUAGCCAUAUACGCAACACCUCAUGUGAUAUGGCUUACGUCACUGUUGGUAUCAAAGCUUUGGCUCACAUGUGGAUAAUGGGUGAGUGGUCGGUCAACUUCUACAGAUUCUUCUGUGUCGACACCAUUUCAAUCUCGAAAAUUAUAAUGCAGCCAGUGAUGUGCAAGUAUGUUGUUUCUUUUCUCACUAGCUUUCUAGCGGCAGAAGAGACUAUCUUAGUUCCACUUCGAAUGAUCAGUGAGAUCUUUGGGAGCCUUGAAAGGAUAAAUAAACAUGGAGUUUUGUAGCAAUCAGACUUCUAUGCGUUGUGGAUCUGUUUUGCUACCCCACAUCACUUACAAGCAACUGAUUCUUUCUUCUCAGGGAAAAAAUCAGGCACAUAAUCAGAUAUUUUGCAAUCAAUUCUGCCCAUUCGGUUGCUGAACAAGUCGAAUACUAGGUUUGUGGACCACCGUCUUCGAAGACUGGGGAUAGAGCUUCAGGAACUAAAUUUGAGACUGCUGCACAUUAGUACAAAAAAGCAACUGGGUGAUUGGGGUUCUGAGAGCAACAAGGACAAUAAAAUUCUCCCUUGAACGCGAUCUUAGAUCUACAAUGCCUACUUCAGAAGCUUCACGUGAAUACCUUGAGACGAACCUCGAAUACCAAGCAGAAGACUCUAUUUUUGAGUGAUUGUGAACUGAAAUGCCAUUGGCGGCAUUGUGGAUCUGAGACUACGGCCUAGUGUGGAAGCAGAUUCGGCUUCUGUUACAGACAGGAGGAACUAACCUUCAUCAAGCAGGGGAGAACUUGUGCGAAAACGCAGGACGCAAGAGUUAGUAAGACUUUCCAAAAAACUUCAACCUUCCUUGGGCACUGAUAGGGUGCCACUGAAGGUUUAAGCUUCCAAGAAUCACGCUUACAGUGGUUUCAUGGUUAUCGUUGUCGUUUGAACAGUUUAAUGUUAGCAACACAGAGGAGGUGUAACAUAGGAUUGGGCCAUGAGUAGCAUUGAAAAACUGUGAUAAACUGUACUGUGAAUCAACAGUAUGUACGCGGUUUGAAUGACAACAGGUGUGUGUGCACGGGCGAUUGGGUGCAUGUGAACUUGGUCUCAAACCUGCGUGUGAUCAUACGCUGUAAAUUGAUUCCGUUGCGGUAAAAUCAGUGAAGGUGAAUUGCCGCAAAGCUGCUCCAUUCCACGUUUGGAAACCGAACUAUUGAAGCUCAGAUCAGCCAAUAUAUGAGCUCAGCAAACAAUGAAGCAUCACGCAACGGUUUCGUGUUGGAGUAGGACAAAAUGGACAGGUAAAUUCACAAAGCUCCGUUAAAACUGCAUGGUAGAAAUCGAAGCAUAUGCAACCAUUAUGGACUGGUGGGGCAUUCGGCACGCGACUGCCCAGUAAAUCUCAGUCGUCCUGGAUGCUAAGUCAAGCCAAACAUAAAAAGUGAACAAUCCAAAAAGCACUGCAUCUCUCCGAUCCAACUGCAUAGUACGGCAACAUCAAGGAGGGUGGACAUGCAGAAGGUGCACCUGGUGGACGCUCUUGCAGCAAUUUGCAAUGGAAAACAACGAUUCGUGGUACCUGGACUUGGGAUGUCCGGGCAUGUUGCCAGCAAACUCCAUCUGUUUGAACUAGUUAAGAGCACAGUGCAGCUCUCAGAGACUUGCAAUACACUUUUUGGAGGGCUUUAUCUAUCACAUCUUCAAGAAUAAAUAUUACGCUUAUACAAUAAACUUUGUGAACGACUCUGGAUAGAGACAGUAACAACUACAUACUACUUCAUGAAACAGUGUACAGAAGCUGAUUCUAGUACUGUAAUGUAUUAUUUCCUCAAAUGCAAUAACUUUGGUUUUCCUUUCACUGUGA